rnacentral:rRNA from 1 species
GAUGAACGCUGGCGGCGUGCCUAAUACAUGCAAGUCGAGCGAACAGACGAGGAGCUUGCUCCUCUGACGUUAGCGGCGGACGGGUGAGUAACACGUGGAUAACCCACCUAUAAGACUGGGAUAACUUCGGGAAACCGGAGCUAAUACCGGAUAAUAUAUUGAACCGCAUGGUUCAAUAGUGAAAGACGGUUUUGCUGUCACUUAUAGAUGGAUCCGCGCCGCAUUAGCUAGUUGGUAAGGUAACGGCUUACCAAGGCAACGAUGCGUAGCCGACCUGAGAGGGUGAUCGGCCACACUGGAACUGAGACACGGUCCAGACUCCUACGGGAGGCAGCAGUAGGGAAUCUUCCGCAAUGGGCGAAAGCCUGACGGAGCAACGCCGCGUGAGUGAUGAAGGUCUUCGGAUCGUAAAACUCUGUUAUUAGGGAAGAACAAAUGUGUAAGUAACUAUGCACGUCUUGACGGUACCUAAUCAGAAAGCCACGGCUAACUACGUG